rnacentral:lncRNA from 1 species
AUGACACUGAAUCUUUUUUUUUCCUAUUCUGUUUCUCACUUAUCCAGACAUCCCUAGCUCAUAAGAAUAAAAAGUGCAUUACAGAGCGCAGGAUCUACCACCAAAUGGAUACUCUAGUGUCCUUGGACUCCUGGAAGGAGAACUUUCUUCUUGGCUGGAUCCUGGCAAAGAAGGAAUACGAGUGAAAAUCCCGAAGAC